UUUUGAGAGGGAUACGGAAGGAAGCAAAUUGCUUUCCCCAAUUUAUUAGGUAAAAUAAAGAAUGAUUACAGGGAAAAGAAAUAGAAGAAGUGGAGAGUGGUUACUAGGAAAGUACAACGGAGAUCAUGGAAUUAGAAAAGAGGAUCUAAAGAUGUAGGAUAUUUUUGUGGCUUUCCAGAUCUUUAGCUGAGCAUAAAUUACCCCAAAGUUUGAAGGUGCGAAGAGUUUUGGAAAGGACUGCUUUAACGGAAGACCUUUUCCUUAACACUGUUCAAUGUCCGN
rnacentral:lncRNA from 1 species